GAAGCUUGGAAAGAACUCUAUUGAAAUAACAAGGGUGAUGAUCUUGGAUCUAUUAUUUCUAUAAAUCCAACUAGUUUAAGGUAUCAGACAUUGAUCGGCACUUGCAUAUUGGUAUGUUAAACAAAGAGUGAAUGAUGGUCGUUUAGUAAUACUUAGAGCUUCCAACAAUAGUACAUUAAGAUUUCGUUUGAAGCUCGAUGCUAAUAGCCUAUAUUUUGGCAGGAUAAACAGUUCAAGCAUGCUAAUUAAUCUGAUAGGCAAGACAUGCUUGUGGUGCUAAAUGUAAGUGUAAAUGUGUGUGCUUUAUCACCUGGUUUGUUGUGGCUGUUAUUAUGCUGAUUGGAAGCGUGAAGAUAAAAGCAAUAGCACUUGCAAAUAGAAGCCCCCACCAUGGCAUCUGGACUUGGUUAUUCAAGAAAAUGCAGAGGAUUAGGGAGACUGCUAGUGUCACCAGAAGCAAUGCAUUGAACCACCAUGAAGGUAUGUCUUUGUAUUUCCUCAUUAGUCUUGUAUGAAUAUCCUCCUUUCCCUUAUAUGAAGCUCGGAAUCUUUCAUAUAUUUCCCUACACAUUGCAAGUGGACGAUAAAUACAAUCCUUAACCGCCAUUGUUGUAGCUUAUUAAUAAGCAAUUCUUAAACUUAUUCAUAGUUCUACUAAAUUGUAGAAACUUUGCUGCUAAACAGCUCUAUAUAUGUAGCAAUUGAGUCGUCAAAAUUUUGAAGAAAUGUAAAAUUAAUCCACACAUUAUUAAUUUUGGGAUGAUAAGACAGACAUGUAGUUCUAUUUUUUAAAAAGCAUAGUUUUUCUCAACUUCGACUCAAGAUUGUAAAACACUAGGAGCAAUUUGACAAAAUAGUAGUACUGUGGCUUGACAGUUAGUGUGUUUUACCUUCCAUAGAACAGUGCCACGUGUGUAAGAGUAGAUGCUAUAGUAGCAAAACCAAAACCGUAAGUGAGAGCAAAGAACAUGCUUAUAUGUAUCCGCCCUUGCUCCUCAUACUUGCCAAUAUCUAGCUCAAACUUGUCAUUCACAAUGGCUGAUAUAUCGUACUUCUGACCUUGUGAUGUGAAUAAGUGCGAUGAGAAAAUGGGAAAUUUGGAAGCACCAUACAAGUCAAAUCCCCAAUAUGCUAUUGGGAUCACCAUGUAUAUUAUCAACAUGUACCCUGCAAAGAUGUUGACAAUGGCAAAGAAAGGGC
rnacentral:lncRNA from 1 species